rnacentral:rRNA from 1 species
CCUACGGGGGGCAGCAGUGAGGAAUAUUGGUCAAUGGGAGAGAUCCUGAACCAGCCAAGCCGCGUGAGGGAAUAAGGCCCUACGGGUCGUAAACCUCUUUUGCCGGGGAGCAAGGGCCGGGACGAGUCCCGGUCCGGAGAGUACCCGGAGAAAAAGCAUCGGCUAACUCCGUGCCAGCAGCCGCGGUAAUACGGAGGAUGCGAGCGUUAUCCGGAUUUAUUGGGUUUAAAGGGUGCGUAGGCGGGCUUUUAAGUCAGCGGUAAAAAUUAGGGGCUCAACCCCGUCCGGCCGUUGAAACUGGGGGG